ACGAACGCUGGCGGCGUGGAUAAGACAUGCAAGUCGAACGAGAGAAUUGCUAGCUUGCUAAUAAUUCUCUAGUGGCGCACGGGUGAGUAACACGUGAGUAACCUGCCCCCGAGAGCGGGAUAGCCCUGGGAAACUGGGAUUAAUACCGCAUAGUAUCGAAAGAUUAAAGCAGCAAUGCGCUUGGGGAUGGGCUCGCGGCCUAUUAGUUAGUUGGUGAGGUAACGGCUCACCAAGGCGAUGACGGGUAGCCGGUCUGAGAGGAUGUCCGGCCACACUGGAACUGAGACACGGUCCAGACACCUACGGGUGGCAGCAGUCGAGAAUCAUUCACAAUGGGGGAAACCCUGAUGGUGCGACGCCGCGUGGGGGAAUGAAGGUCUUCGGAUUGUAAACCCCUGUCAUGUGGGAGCAAAUUAAAAAGAUAGUACCACAAGAGGAAGAGACGGCUAACUCUGUGCCAGCAGCCGCGGUAAUACAGAGGUCUCAAGCGUUGUUCGGAAUCACUGGGCGUAAAGCGUGCGUAGGCUGUUUCGUAAGUCGUGUGUGAAAGGCGCGGGCUCAACCCGCGGACGGCACAUGAUACUGCGAGACUAGAGUAAUGGAGGGGGAACCGGAAUUCUCGGUGUAGCAGUGAAAUGCGUAGAUAUCGAGAGGAACACUCGUGGCGAAGGCGGGUUCCUGGACAUUAACUGACGCUGAGGCACGAAGGCCAGGGGAGCGAAAGGGAUUAGAUACCCCUGUAGUCCUGGCAGUAAACGGUGCACGCUUGGUGUGCGGGGAAUCGACCCCCUGCGUGCCGGAGCUAACGCGUUAAGCGUGCCGCCUGGGGAGUACGGUCGCAAGAUUAAAACUCAAAGAAAUUGACGGGGACCCGCACAAGCGGUGGAGUAUGUGGCUUAAUUCGAUGCAACGCGAAGAACCUUACCUGGGCUUGACAUGUAAUGAACAACAUGUGAAAGCAUGCGACUCUUCGGAGGCGUUACACAGGUGCUGCAUGGCCGUCGUCAGCUCGUGUCGUGAGAUGUUUGGUUAAGUCCAGCAACGAGCGCAACCCCUGUUGCCAGUUACCAGCACGUGAAGGUGGGGACUCUGGCGAGACUGCCCAGAUCAACUGGGAGGAAGGUGGGGACGACGUCAGGUCAGUAUGGCCCUUAUGCCCAGGGCUGCACACGUACUACAAUGCCCAGUACAGAGGGGGCCGAAGCCGCGAGGCGGAGGAAAUCCUAAAAACUGGGCCCAGUUCGGACUGUAGGCUGCAACCCGCCUACACGAAGCCGGAAUCGCUAGUAAUGGCGCAUCAGCUACGGCGCCGUGGAUACGUUCCCGGGUCUUGUACACACCGCCCGUCACAUCAUGGAAGCCGGUCGCACCCGAAGUAUCUGAAGCCAACCGCAAGGAGGCAGGGUCCUAAGGUGAGACUGGUAACUGGGAUG
rnacentral:rRNA from 1 species